UAAACUCCAAAUUCUCUUCCGUUCGCUGCUGCUAGUGUGACGUCAUCGGAAUAUGCUUCUCUCGUGUCCGUCGCGGUCGUGGGCGUUUAUUGCAAUGGCUUUUCAAGUUUCAAGCGUCAUUGUCGUUCUCGGCCAAAGUCCGUCGUCUUCGAUGCUGGUGGUGUCGUCCUCCUCUCCUCGACGGAAUCCUCAAGCUUCAUUGUCGGUCUCGUUCUUGUGCAAGUCCCCCGUUUAUUGGCUUAAAGCGUUAUCUUCCAAGUUCAACUCCUCGUGGUCUUCACGAUUCUGUCAGAGUUCAACUCCAUUCUGAUUGCAGAUUAUUGCUGAUCAGAAGUUGCAAACUUAAAUGCGUCAACAGUUUUGCUGAAAGAUUCAAUUAAUAUGCUUCUAAACAUAUGUUUAUUUUCGUGUUUCUAGCUGGAAUUUUGUGGCACAUUAGUGUUAAUUAGAUUUGAUGGACAGCCUAGAUUAACCCACAGAGAAGAACCUGUGUUAUCAUUCGCAGAGUAGAGAAAUUGCAUUCCCUGUGUUCAUAUUCCACCUCCGGCCAACCAACUAGGUAACUGGCCUCUGAUUGUGGCUGUUCCUCUUCAGUCCUUGCUUUCUUCAGAUUCUCUAAUUUCUGAUUUCUUUUCGUUGUUUUACUUUUCUCAAGUAAUGGACUUCUCAAAAUACUGGAAGUCCUUCUUCCUAGUUUCUAUAUCUUUUUCGUCCCCUGUUCUGAUUCCCUAUUCUCCACGGCCCACCUUGGGUCCCCUCAUCUUCAAUCCCAUCUCUCAAUCUCUAACCCAUGUUUUCUCUUCCUCUUAUCUCUUGCCCACUCUUCUUCAUAUCCCCCAACUCUCUCUUUCUCGAUUUCUCGUAAUCUCUUGUCCUGGCUCCUGUUCUUCCCUCCACUGCGUCCUCCAUCACUCCCCUUUGUGGUCCCCAAUUCCAAAAUAAUAUCACCUCUGUCCUUCAUUACAAUCGGCUUGAGUUACUCAAGUAUGGCAAUAGUGUUAUUGUCUUCUUUCCAAUUGGGGUGAACUCCGAGAAAGUAGGGUUUUUGAUUGCCCAUGUUGAAGGUUCAAGUUUACACCUUUAGCUGGAUGGUAACGGUGAUGUUUUUCGAGCUACAAGUGGAGCACGUUGCAACAUAUCAAGGAUUUUAGUUACCCCAAUUGAUGAUGAGGAUGGUGAUAAUUUAGUUUGGAGAGACCUAGUGUAUUCUACAUGGGCGGAAAAAUUGUUAAGACUAGCUCUGUUGUCCAUACUUGUUGGAGUUCGCACAUACAUGAAGAAAGCCUUGUUUUGCUUGAAAGUGGUGAGCUGUUCUUGUUUGAUUUGGAGUAUUAAAUGAAAAAUUCUAGUUCAAAUGGCAAUUUUAAGGGAACUAGUUUGAAAGUACCGUGGCAUGAUUCAAAUUGUUCUGAUGACAAAGUUCGGUCAAGUUGUGAAUUUAGUUGGCAUCCAACAAUUUUGAUUUGGCAUGUUCUGAUGCAGGUUUUUUUAGUUGAUUUAAGUGCAGAUAAAUGCAUUGUAAGUUGUCUUUUGAAGGUUGAUGUUUUGCAUACGCAUACACUGGCUCAGAGUGAAAGAUUUCUAGCCCUUUCCAGGGCAAGUCCUGACGGCUUCUACUUCACUGUGGCCUCCACUAAUUUCUUACUUCUAUGUGAUGUGCAGAAGCAUAUGAUGCCAAUUUUAUGAUCGACCCAUGGUCUUGACAGACCUAGCUUCAUGAAUGUGUUAAACUUGUCUACGUUGAGAUCAGAUUCAAGAGAAGAUACUUUCAAGUUAGCUUCCGAAGUUGGAUUUUGCAUUAUAUUGGGACCAUUUUGGAGUGGUGAGUUCAAUCUCUUCUGCUAUGAAACUUCAUUGCCAUCUCAAAGAGGAUCUCUUGCUUCAAAGCUUUCUAAGACUAACAAGACCCUUUAUGCGUGGGAACUUCCAUAGGAAAUUGCGUUAUCUGGUCGUGAUUGUCAUCGUGCGAGUUGUCUUUUAAAAGAAGAGUUGUCAAAGGUUGCUCUCCCUAAUUGGAUUGAUUGGCAAAUGAAGAAGGAGAUAGUUUUGGGCUUUGGCAUUAUGAUCAUCGAUUAGGCCUCCUUACUUUGUGAACAAUAUAAAUAUGAUGGUUUUACAUUGGAAGGGCUGAUGUCAUCUGGAAAGCUUGAAUUGCAGGGAUAUGAAGCCUCCUGGAUUCAUGAUAACAAAUUAGAAAAUUGCCAUGUACAAAGGUUACAUUUCGACAGAUAUUUAUUGUUCACUGUAGGUGAUGAGAAAUAUAAUUAUCGCAAAAGUGUUGUAUUUCAUAAAUUGAACUAUAUCGAUGCAUAUAGAAGAGGCAACCUUACUAAACUCUUUGUUAAAAAACUAAAAGGUCCUUGUAUGGAUGCUUAGGAGAAGGGACCUUUUGACGUGGAUGUUCAUGAGUUCUUGUGUGAGAAAUUAAAUGCUUGUGGGGUCGGCCCAUUUAGAUCUUCUCCUGCCAUUAUUGUGUUUUUCAAAGAUGUGAAGCUAUCAGCAAACCUCCAGGAUGUUCCUCUGAGAGGAUUGUCGGAGGAAUUGCCUUUGGAUAUGUUACAAUUGGCAUUUUCAAAGCGUUCUGAAUCUCUUGAUGUUGACCAAAAGAAGGUACCUUUGGAGUUUUUAGCUAUUACAUCCUGUCCUGAAUUGCCUCCAUUUUUCUUAAGGAAAUCAUCCUCUUGCAGCAAUAAAGGGCCUAAUAAGGCACAUUGUGAUGGUGAUAUGGUGGGUCCAAUUCUUCCUCUCCCUAUUUUACUUGGGCUUCAUGAAAUUUAUGAUGGGUGUUCCGAUUUGGAAGAUGGUAAAUUUUCUGUAGCAGAGAUUGGUGCCAAAUACAAUUAACUUAUGAAGGUGGCUGGUGAAAUUUCAGUUUCUAUUUCUGGUUUUGAGUUGUUUGGUAAUCACGAAGUAACCCUUGCUGAAGAUGCAGAUGGAACUUGGGUUGAUCCAUCAAAACUAAAGCCUUUCUUGCUAUACUGUCCAGCUUCAUUCAAGUGCUCUGACACAAAUCUUGUAUAUGGGAACUCUAUCGAGAUAAGAUUCAUGAUACAUUAAUUUUUCACGUUUUGGAGGAAAAGACUGUUUCCAAUGUAAGUCAGAGUCUGAGCUAGUAGGUCCCAUAUAUUCGAUGAUCUUUGCUUAGUUGAGUUGGGGUUUAACGCUCCUACUGAAAAAAGGCAUUUAAUAUAUCAAAAAGGCGGUUAUCUAAAUGGCAAGAAGGCGUUGAUUCAUACAAAGAGCCUACCGUUCAGUCUGGAUUUGUGAAGCCAGUUUGUAAGUGAUGGUACUUUCUGAGGUAAAUUUCUUACCCUUGUAUGUUAAAUUCCUGUUUCCACAUAGGGAGGGGAUUCUAACACCUAGAGAGCUAAGUUUGAUUAAGAAACUAAAGAAAGAGUCAAUGAGGAAACAAAUCCCGCUGAGAGAGGCAGCACGCACAUGGAGCAGCAUCUUUGUGCGCCAGGAGAUGCUGCUAUAGGCACAUCCAAUGCAUCUAUGGUGGAUAGAACAGAGAAGUCAGGUUAUCAUCAGCUUCCUAAAGAAUUGAAUCAAAUGAAAAUUAGAGAUGAGAAAGGCAACAACGGCAACGAAAAGUUAUUUAUUGCCAUUCAUUUUCCCAUAUAUUUUCAAUUUCAAUGUUCAUGUUUAAUUAUUACUUUUUUACUUUAUUAAUCAUUAAUGUAAAAGCUAUUCUAAAUAAUCUGUAUUCAUUUUAAUGUUAGCAACUUUAAUUACAAUGCCCUUAUAUUUUAGUUUUAGACCAGUUUAAUUUGUUGUUGAGUUGUUUGAACCUGAACGGUCUUUGCUCAAUGCAAUUAGCUUUGUGUUUGGUAAUAAUUUUGCUAUAUGCAGGAUAUAGAGCCAACUAUUGUGAAUGGUAAUGGAACUGAAACAGGGCAGGUAAUUACUACAGCAAUUGGUGGUCGUGAUGGACAACCAAGGCAGGUGUAUCGAAGAGGAAGCUAUCUAGAUGGCAAGAAGGUGUUGAUUCAUACAAAAGAGCUUACCGUUCAGCCUGGAUUUGUGAAGCCAGUCGGUAAAUGAGUCCUUAGCACAAUAUUUACUUAUGACAAAACCUGUCGGUGUAGCUGCUCUUAAGCGAACACAUUUUAAAGGCAAACGGUUGACCACUUUUUGCUAAGGUGCACUAGAAAAUUUGCACGUCUUUCUCCAAAUCCUUCACUCCUCGAAGAAAGAGUUCGGACGACGCAAUUUUUUCCAGAACAGUGAAGACCUGACAGGAUCCGUGAUUUCCAGCUCAUCCAACCCGAUCAUAUUUUGAAUUCUCCGGCGUGAGUCGUCGGAAAGAACAGUAGUGUCUGCAUUCCCUUGUCACUCAUGGUCCGUAGCAUGCAGGAGACGAGGCAACGAAAUUUCUCAGCUGGCUCUGUUCUUCAGCGAAUCUCCUUUCGGAAGUUUGAAAUCGGCGACGGUAAUCUGCUCCUAGUGACUCAGUUGCGCCAGAAAAUUUCAACAGCAAGGAGAAGCUUUGAUCUGCUGCGUCUAAAGCCAAGUACAGAAAGAGCUUGGCCAUUCCUCUCAGGUUACGUUGUUGCUUCCAUAUUCGAGUUCGAAGUUGCAGAUCGGCCACCUGCUUUCCAGAUCUGGAGAGCAAUUAGCCGAGAGUCCUGAAAGGGAUCAGAGCGGGUGAGUUGAUCAGUUGAGAUUACUUCAAGGAGAACAGAGAGAUCAGAUUUGGGAGACCAGCGAUGUGUCUUUUGCAUGGUAUCUGAUCUUGUUUCAUUCUUCUUUUUCAAUCUUGGGGAUUUCGUCUCCUGCAUGCUAAGAAGCUUGGAUUCAUCGCUUGAAUGGUUUCAACCUGUUUCUGCUCUUAUUGGCUUCUGAUUUUGAUUAUUGGUUCUAACCUUUGGUAGUUAUUCUGUUCUCAAGGCUGUGGAUUGGUUUUUAUUUGGCAGCAGACUCUUCUUGCUGCGUGUUGCUAAUUUUUUGGAAGAAUUUGUUGGGACUGCCAGAUGGUGAAAGGGAAGCGAUGAAGAAGAAAUCGUGAGAGGAGUGAAGGAUUUAGAGAAAGAUGACAGUUUUGCAAAUUUUUUAUUCAACCUCAACAACAAAAAACGGUCAAACCGUUUGCUUAGAUGUAGAUUAACGGUCAACUUCAGUUAUCUUUGACGAGUUGGAGACGGGUGCACCUGUUAAAAUUAGUUCAUGGAUAUUGGUGUACCUUUCUUCACUCAAGUCCUAAGUGCUCUUAAAAAAAAAAAACUUUGUAAACAUGUUUGUACCUUUCUCCUUUUUAUAUUUAGUGAUGGAUUGAUUAGUACAGAGAAAACAAUUUGAAUAUCACCAUAUACUCAUGUAUAUUUUCGAUUCUUGAAUUUUAGUUGAGGGAUC